rnacentral:rRNA from 1 species
UUCCGGUUGAUCCCGCCGGAGGCCACUGCUAUCGGAGUUCGAUUAAGCCAUGCGAGUCGAGAGGUGCAAGACCUCGGCAUACUGCUCAGUAACACGUGGAUAAUCUACCCUGCGGAGGGGGAUAACCCCGGGAAACUGGGGAUAAUACCCCAUAGACUAUGGAUGCUGGAAUGCUCUGUAGCCGAAAGGUCCGCCGCCGCAGGAUGAGUCUGCGGCCGAUUAGGUUGUUGUUGGGGUAACGGCCCAACAAGCCUGUAAUCGGUACGGGUUGUGGGAGCAAGAGCCCGGAGAUGGAUUCUGAGACACGAAUCCAGGCCCUACGGGGCGCAGCAGGCGCGAAAACUUUGCAAUGCGGGAAACCGUGACAAGGGAACUCCGAGUGCCCGUAAAUUCGGGCUGUCCGCCAGUUUAAAUCACUGGUGAAGAAAGGGCCGGGCAAGACCGGCGCCAGCCGCCGCGGUAAUACCGGCGGCUCGAGUGGUGGCCACUAUUACUGGGCUUAAAGCGUUCGUAGCUGGUCUGUUAAGUCUCUGGGGAAAUCUUCCGGCUUAACCGGAAGGCGUCUCAGGGAUACUGGCAGACUAGGGACCGGGAGAGGUGAGGGGUACUCCAGGGGUAGGAGUGAAAUCCUGUAAUCCUUGGGGGACCACCUGUGGCGAAGGCGCCUCACCAGAACGGCUCCGACAGUGAGGAACGAAAGCUGGGGGAGCAAACCGGAUUAGAUACCCGGGUAGUCCCAGCUGUAAACGAUGCGCGUUAGGUGUAUCGGUGACCACGAGUCACCGAGGUGCCGAAGAGAAAUCGUGAAACGUGCCGCCUGGGAAGUACGGUCGCAAGGCUGAAACUUAAAGGAAUUGGCGGGGGAGCACCACAACGGGUGGAGCCUGCGGUUUAAUCGGACUCAACGCCGGGAAACUCACCGGAUAGACAGCUGUAUGAUUGCCGGGCUGAAGACUCUGCAUGACUAGCUGA